AGUGAACGCUGGCGGUAGGCCUAACACAUGCAAGUCGAACGGCAGCACAGUAAGAGCUUGCUCUUACGGGUGGCGAGUGGCGGACGGGUGAGGAAUACAUCGGAAUCUACUUUUUCGUGGGGGAUAACGUAGGGAAACUUACGCUAAUACCGCAUACGACCUACGGGUGAAAGCAGGGGAUCUUCGGACCUCGCGCGAUUGAAUGAGCCGAUGUCGGAUUAGCUAGUUGGCGGGGUAAAGGCCCACCAAGGCGACGAUCCGUAGCUGGUCUGAGAGGAUGAUCAGCCACACUGGAACUGAGACACGGUCCAGACUCCUACGGUAGGCAGCAGUGGGGAAUAUUGGACGAUGGGCGCAAGCCUGAUCCAGCCAUACCGCGUGGGUGAAGAAGGCCUUCGGGUUGUAAAGCCCUUUUGUUGGGAAAGAAAAGCAGCAGGUUAAUACCCCGCUGUUCUGACGGUACCCAAAGAAUAAGCACCGGCUAACUUCGUG
rnacentral:rRNA from 1 species